rnacentral:rRNA from 1 species
GACAGAGGGUGCAAACGUUGUUCGGAAUUACUGGGCGUAAAGCGCGUGUAGGCGGUAAGGCAAGUCGGGUGUGAAAGCCCUGGGCUCAACCCAGGAAGUGCAUUCGAUACUGCCAAACUAGAGUCCCGGAGAGGAUGGUGGAACUCUCGGUGUAGAGGUGAAAUGCGCAGAUAUCAGGAGGAACACCGGUGGCGAAGGCGGGUCUCUGGGCAACAACUGACGCUGAGGAGCGAAAGCGUGGGGAGCGAACAGG